rnacentral:rRNA from 1 species
UUACGGAAGGCAGCAGUAGGGAAUUUUCCGCAAUGGGCGAAAGCCUGACGGAGCAACGCCGCGUGAGGGAUGAAGGUUUUCGGAUCGUAAACCUCUGUCUUCAGGGACGAUAAUGACGGUACCUGAGGAGGAAGCCACGGCUAACUACGUGCCAGCAGCCGCGGUAAUACGUAGGUGGCAAGCGUUGUCCGGAAUUACUGGGCGUAAAGGGCGUGUAGGCGGCUUUUUAAGUCAGGCGUGAAAUCUCUGGGCUUAACCCAGAAAUUGCGUUUGAAACUGGAAGGCUUGAGGACCGGAGAGGGUAGUGGAAUUCCCAGUGUAGCGGUGAAAUGCGUAGAUAUUGGGAGGAACACCAGUGGCGAAGGCGACUGCCUGGACGGCACCUGACGCUGAGGCGCGAAAGCUAGGGGAGCAAACGGGAUUAGAAACCCUAGUAGUCCG